rnacentral:lncRNA from 1 species
CAAAGACCCACUUAGCUGAGGGAAGACAGCUCUUGAUGAAGCUUUGAGUGGGAAAAGAAACCUGUUGGCUGUGUUGUUCUGGGAGAUACUAAAUAGUCAAGCUGUGCCCAGGUAUAAAACACUGAAUUCUCAGGGCAGCCCUUCUUCCCUUUAUACCCUUAAAGGCCAUUUCCUACAUAACUGAUCCCAGCAGUUAUGAAAAGCAAACUUCCAUCUGAACUGUUCUUGCUCAUCGGAACAAGUAAAUGCUGUCUCCCUCACAGUGGAUAAGCCAUCUUAUGUUUUGGCCAAGAGUGAAAAAUUUGGGCUUCAAUGUACUUUUUGUUUUACGAAUUGCCUUUUUGUGUGGCUGCUCAAGUUUUCCAGCUAUAGUUGCUAUCACUGUGGUUCUUUCUAAAAAUCCUUGUUUUUGACAGGCUCACUGAAAGUAGUCGUAGCAAACUAGUGAUUUGUUAAGAAACAUUCCUUGGAACACACAACUUGGGAUAGUGCUUCAGAUGGAUGGUAUAGCACGUUGUUAAGGGGGAUAUUGAGAAUCUAGGAAGUCUCUGGGUCUGACUGAUGGAAAGUUCUUCCUGCUGUGAAUAAAAGACUCUUCCUCCUGUCCCCAGCUGAAACUUCAGCACACCCAAGAAUCUUCUCAGAAUCUCAUUUUUAAUUUGUUGUAUAAGAUCUUGGUAUGGAAUAUGAAAUAGGGCAUGUCAGAUAUGGAGAGAUUUCUUGAACUUGAGAGCCUUAAACAGCUUUGAAAAUACACCAAGAGAGCUCCCAUUGGGAUAAAAAUUAGAAGUGAGUAUUUUUAGGUGCCCUUGAAGCUUUCUGGGGACUCAGAUCAUCAACAGUCAGGGACAGCCCAAA